GACCACGUGGCCUAAUGGAUAAGGCGUCUGACUUCGGAUCAGAAAAUUGAGGGUUCGAAUCCCUUCGUGGUUG
rnacentral:tRNA from 1 species